rnacentral:rRNA from 1 species
CCCUUAGAUGUUCUGGGCUGCACACGUGCUACACUGGCAGGUUCAGCGAGCUUCAUGCCCUGAUCUGAAAGGAAUGGGAAAUCUUUUCAAAACCUGCCGUGCUUGGGAUAGAUGUUUGCAAUUAUUCAUCUUCAACGAGGAUUGCCUUGUAAGCGCACGUCAUCAGCGUGCAUUGAAUACGACCCUGUAUUCUGUACACACCGCCCGUCGCUCCUACCGAUUGAAGUUUUCGGUGAGUUGACAGGAGGAUUUUUUUGAAACUGGUUCGCCAGUGGAUUUUAGAUCCAAAUGCCAACUAAUCGAUGGCUUUAGAGGAAGGAGAAGUCGUAACA